rnacentral:ncRNA from 18 species
GGCUGGUCAUCACAUCCACAAACUUGGACUGCUGCUCGCAAAUAAUGCGGGUAAUUCGCAGCCUGUCUUCGUGGGUAAGCAAAUUGAGAUAGUUAUGCGCCAGUUCGUUACUGAGGAUAUUGGUGCCGUCACUAAUACGCAGAAUACAGAUGCCUACCGGUGCCGACGCCACGAUCUUACGGUUAAAUUGCUCGUUCUCUUCCAGUUGAAACGCAUUCACUUCUGCAGGCAACAGCAUUUUCCGCUCAAACACCAGCGCCAACACGAACAAUAGAAUCGCCGAGAGGAUAUUCAGCACCAGCAUGUUGAUCAUCAAUCCGCCGAUAUGGGACAGCAGCACCUUCAGCGGCAGCGAGUACACAAUACUGAACGAAGUCGGCGGCAGCGCCUUCUUCAGAAUGAGUUCGUCAUAACCAUUCACAUAGCCAAAAUAGUUAUGCUCGGAGGGAUAGCCGCCUACCGAGGAAACAGAGAGCCCUUUGUCAUCGG